UGCCGUUUUAUAGUAAUGAACAACAAAAUCAAGCAGGUCAAUACUGUGCUCGGUUUCCAUUUGUGCUUUUAUACUGGCAGUCUUCUGAAAUAAUUGCCACAGAGAUGGGAGAUUCUAGAACAGAGACAAAGGAACGAGCAGAAAAGUCCCCUGAUAAAAACACUAGCCUCGUGGAUUUGCUACCCAACAGUUCAGCAGCUGUCUUGGAAUUAAGGAUUUUGCUUGUGGACUUUGUCUAUUUUUCCCACUUUGAAAGGAAAACUGGAAUGAACCGAGGGAAAGACUAGAAGACAUCUCAGGUCAUAAACGUCAGUUGCUUCUGUGAGAGCUGUAGGUUCCCGGGGCUCCAGUAAGAAAAGAAGAGAAAACACACAGGCCUGUCAUUCCCCACCCCUGCUCAUCACAGGAGCCAGGAGAACUCAGUGCUGUCUGGCUGAACAAUGUUCUGGAGUGUUCUUGGAGACCUGCUGUUUGUCUUUCUUCCCUGGACACUGGAGGUGGGAUGAGGAGACCCAUGGCUCUGAAGCUCCCAACCCAACCAGAAGGAGGGUGGACAGCCUGUGAGCAAACGCAUAAACACAUGUUCAGAAGCCAUGGCAUAAUACCAGCAGUGAAGGAUCCUAUCAUGAGUCAGAGAGUAUCACACAGAAGCUCAGGAUCCUCCCUUCCAGUUAUCAGAUGCACUGGGGAGAGUUCAUCUAAGAGACUGAAAACGAUUCAGGGUAUUGGUAUUGCUCUAGGUCGCCUGCUAGAACUUGAAGGUGACUGCCACCGAUGGCUGAAAGAAUUAAGACUGACAUAGAAUGUCCCUGUUCAGCAAUUCCAAAGCAACACAGCCAGCCGGAAGCUACCAAUCAAGACGUCUGAUUGUUGUCCAGAUCUCCAGGCCAAGAUGCAGCAGACUAGACCCUUCAUGAUAGUUUGUCUUUUUCCUUUGAUUUGUGAAGUCAGUUCCCACUUAAUAGAAACUGUAACCUCAAGUUUUAAACUUUGAUCCUUUACCAAAUUAAUAGUAUAAGCACUA